rnacentral:tRNA from 1 species
CCAUUGGUGGUUCAGUGGCAGAAUUCUCCCCUGUCAUGUGGGAGAACCAAGUUCAACUCCUGGCCAAUGCA